UUCCUGAAGCCUGAGUUAGCUGCAGUAUUGUAUUUGGCCUCUAGAGGGAGAUGUUACACAAAUUGAAUUUGAUAGCCCAAAACAAUCAGAUCUUUUUGAAGAAGAGCUUUUUGCUCUGCACGCUGGGUAAACUCAUCCACCUCUCUGUCAGAGUGUCCAUUUGGCUGAAUUGUUUCCGGAAAAGACCUCCAGAAAAAUAUAUUCCAGUUUCUCCACCGCUCAGAUAUGAAGCCCACCCUCAUCUCAGUGCUUGUGAUAACAUUUACACUCAGAGGAACAACAGCCCAGAGAGUGACUCAGCCCGAGAAGACCCUCUCUGUCUUUGAAGGCGCCCCAGUGCAGCUGAAGUGCAACUACUCAUAUUCUGGGAAUCCUGACCUCUUCUGGUAUGUCCACUAUCCCAAACAACGCCUGCAGUUACUCCUGAAACACAUCUCUAGAGAGAGCGUCAAAGGCUUCACUGCUGACCUUAACAAAGGCGAGACAUCCUUCCAUCUGGAGAAACCAUUCGCUCAAGAGGAAGACUCAGCCACGUAUUACUGUGCUCUAAGUGACACAGUAGCUGGUUUUGCAAGGAAGCAGAACACAAACCCUUUAGUUACAGGAGCUAUUUCUUUGUAAACGCUCUGUAUGGCCACAGUGGGGCGUUCUUUCUCCAGAUAUUAACAUUAAUUUUGUUCCCUGGAUAUUAUAUUAUCAGCUGUCAGCUAUAGAAUUACCUAAUAAUUUUGUCCAAAAAAUUCUCAUUAUGUACCCUGCUUAAAUUAAUUUUCAGAAUA